GAGCGUUAGGCGGAAUCACUGGGCUUAAAGCGUGUGUAGGCGGACCUCUAAGUACCUUGUGAAAUCCCACGGCUCACCCGUGGAACCGCUGGGUAUACUGGGGGUCUUGGGCCACUCAGGGGCGACUGGAACAAGCGGUGGAGCGGUGAAAUGCGUAGAUAUCGCUUGGAACGCCGAAGGUGAAAACAGGUCGCUGGGAGUGCGCCGACGCUGAGACACGAAAGCCAGGGGAGCAAACGGG
rnacentral:rRNA from 1 species